rnacentral:tRNA from 1 species
GUUGGUGUAGCUCAGCUGGUUAGCAGCACCUCGCUGAUACCGAGGAGGUCGGGGGUUCAAGUCCCUCCACCAACACCA